CCUGAUCCAGCCAUGCCGCGUGAGUGAAGAAGGCCUUAGGGUUGUAAAGCUCUUUUGGCGGGGACGAUAAUGACGGUACCCGCAGAAUAAGCCCCGGCUAACUUCGUGCCAGCAGCCGCGGUAAUACGAAGGGGGCUAGCGUUGUUCGGAAUCACUGGGCGUAAAGCGCACGCAGGCGGAUUGAUAAGUCAGGGGUGAAAUCCCGGAGCUCAACUUCGGAAUUGCCUCUGAUACUGUUCGGCUAGAGAGUAGUUGCGGUAGGCGGAAUGUAUGGUGUAGCGGUGAAAUGCUUAGAGAUCAUACAGAACACCGAUUGCGAAGGCAGCUUACCAAGCUACUUCUGACGUUGAGGCACGAAAGCGUGGGGAGCAAACAGGAUUAGAUACCCUGGUAGUCC
rnacentral:rRNA from 1 species